UACGUAGGGUGCAAGCGUUGUCCGGAUUUAUUGGGCGUAAAGAGCUCGUAGGCGGUUUGUUGCGUCGGCCGUGAAAACCUGCAGCUUAACUGUGGGCCUGCGGUCGAUACGGGCAGACUUGAGUUCGGUAGGGGAGACUGGAAUUCCUGGUGUAGCGGUGAAAUGCGCAGAUAUCAGGAGGAACACCGGUGGCGAAGGCGGGUCUCUGGGCCGAUACUGACGCUGAGGAGCGAAAGCGUGGGGAGCGAACAGG
rnacentral:rRNA from 1 species